AGGCCCUAAACCCUUGGGAGCAAAACAGAAUUAGAUACCCUGGUAGCCCACGCCGUAACCGAUGGGUACUAGGUGUAGGAGGUAUCGACCCCUUCUGUGCCGGAGUUAACACAAUAAGUACCCCGCCUGGGGAGUACGGCCGCAAGGUUGAAACUCAAAGGAAUUGACGGGGGCCCGCACAAGCGGUGGAGCAUGUGGUUAAUUCGACGCAACGCGAAGAACCUUACCAGGUCUUGACAUCCCCUGAGAGUCUAAGAGAUUAGAUGUUUUGUCUUCGGACAGACAGGGAGACAGGUGGUGCAUGGUUGUCGUCAGCUCGUGUCGUGAGAUGUUGGGUUAAGUCCCGCAACGAGCGCAACCCUUAUCUUUAGUUGCCAGCACGUAAGGUGGGCACUCUAGAGAGACUGCCGGUGACAAACCGGAGGAAGGUGGGGAUGACGUCAAAUCAUCAUGCCCUUUAUGACCUGGGCUACACACGUGCUACAAUGGCCUGUACAAAGGGUAGCGAAGCCGUGAGGUGGAGCCAAUCCCAAAAAGCAGGUCUCAGUUCGGAUUGCAGGCUGCAACUCGCCUGCAUGAAGUCGGAAUCGCUAGUAAUCGCGGAUCAGCACGCCGCGGUGAAUACGUUCCCGGGCCUUGUACACACCGCCCGUCACACCACGAAAGUCUGCAACACCCGAAGCCGAUGGAGCAACCUUGAAAGAGGAGCAAGUCGUCGAAGGUGGGGCCGAUGAUUGGGGUGAAGUCGUAACAAGGUA
rnacentral:rRNA from 1 species